UACGGAGGGUGCGAGCGUUGUCCGGAAUCACUGGGCGUAAAGGGCGCGUAGGCGGCCUGAUAAGUAGGGGGUGAAAUCCUGCGGCUUAACCGCAGGGCUGCCUUCUAAACUGUCAGGCUGGAGCACAGUAGAGGCAGGUGGAAUUCCCGGUGUAGCGGUGGAAUGCGUAGAGAUCGGGAAGAACAUCGGUGGCGAAGGCGCUCUGCUGGACCAUAACUGACACUCAGGGACGAAAGCUAGGGGAGCGAAUGGG
rnacentral:rRNA from 1 species